rnacentral:rRNA from 1 species
AAUAGAUACCCCGGUAGUCCACGCCCUAAACGAUGUCAACUGGGUGUUGGGGAAGCGAUUCCUUGGUACCGUAGCUAACGCGUGAAGUUGACCGCCUGGGGAGUACGGCCGCAAGGUUAAAACUCAAAGGAAUUGACGGGGACCCGCACAAGCGGUGGAUGAUGUGGAUUAAUUCGAUGCAACGCGAACAACCUUACCUACCCUUGACAUGUGCCGGAGCCUGCUGAGAGGCGGGUGUGCCCGAAAGGGAACGGCAACACAGGUGCUGCAUGGCUGUCGUCAGCUCAUGUCGUGAGAUGUUGGGUUAAGUCCCGCAACGAGCGCAACCCUUGUCCCUAGUUGCUACGCAAGGGCACUCUAGGGAGACUGCCGGUGACAAACCGGAGGAAGGUGGGGAUGACGUCAAGUCCUCAUGGCCCUUAUGGGUAGGGCUUCACACGUCAUACAAUGGUCGGUACAGAGGGUUGCCAACCCGCGAGGGGAGCCAAUCCCAGAAGGCCGAUCGUAGUCCGGAUUGCAGUCUGCAACUCGA